ACUCGCAGCGGCCGCUGCGCCGCGAGGCGGCCCCUCCAGGCGGCGGGAACGGCGGUAGCGCGGCGCUGUGAGGGGCGCCGGAUCCGCGUGCGCUGUCCGCCAACGGGGGGAGCGGAGCGGGCGCGGCCCCGCGGGCGCCGUGGCUGAGAGAGAUUGUCGGGGACAAGACUGAGCAGGAAGGGCUUUGACUGAAGUCCAGAAGCCCACCUUCUCUUUGGCUGUAUCUGCCACCUCGAGGCUCAGGGAAAAUAAUUAAUUGGAAGAGUAGCUCAGCAGCGACAAAGCAUGCCACUUGGCAUGACAUAACUUGAUGUGGUGUAUUUAAAAGUUAGUCACGCCAAAUAUUGACACCCUGUCUGUGUGCUGGGGUCACCUGAUAGACAUGGGCAAGAUGGAGAACCAAUUAGGUACAGCCUGGUGUUCACAGAAUCGUAGAAUCACAGAGUUGUAAGGGAUGCUUAAAAGCCAUCCAGUCCAAUGCCCCUGAAAUGAACAGGGACUCCUACAGCCAGAUCAGGUGCUCACAGCCCCAUCCAGCCUGACUGUGGGUGUCUCCAGGGCCAAGGGAUCCACCACCUCUCUGGACAACCUGCUCCAAUUCCUCACCAUGCUUACUGUAAAAAACUUCUUCCUUAUAUCCAGUCUAAAUCUCCUCUCUUUUCGUUUGAAACCAUCUCCUCUUGUCCUAUCCCAGCAGAGUAUGCUGAAGGGCCUGUCCCCUUCUUUCUUACAGCCCCCCUUUAGAUACUGAAAGGCUCGGUCCCCAUGCCCUAAGUACAGAACAGCCUGUGCUAUGUGUGCACCAGGCAGCACUGCACCAUUCAGCUCACAAGUUGGCAACAUUGUCCCUAGCAAUCCAUAUGUACCAAGGCAGGUCUGACAUGGAGACCAGCUGCCAUGAAAUGAUGACUUGUAUUGCUUUCUUCCUCUGGUUAAGACACGACAUAUCAAAAACCAUGCAUUAACCACUUCCAUGAGGUAACUUCAUAAAAAGGUGUCCGGCAUGAUCCUAAAACAUGCCGAGGAUAAAUUAACAUCGUAGACAAUUUCAGUGCUCAGAAAUACUUCUCUUUAAUUUAUUUGUAUAAAUUCAAAGUACUAUGGAAAUACUGACUGGGAUAUCAGGCAGAUAAGUAACACUCUGAUGUCUUUUUAUGCACACAGAAAUUGAGGCAAGGGUCUGUUCUAAUUUGCUUAUGCUAAAUUACACAAAUAUGUGUACAGCUCCCAUGGCUUUGGUGCAGUUAAGUGAAAUUUACACUGAUCGAUUUGGAAUGAAAAUGUUCCACCAGGUUAUAUUUUCUUAGGGUUUGAUCUAAACCAGCUACCUAAAUGCUAACCACUUAAAUGCUGCCAACUGCUCUUCAACAUAUACAUUGCCAAAACUGACCCCAAGGACUUCCACCCACCCUCAGUCUGACUCCUGAGGCUUCUGAAGCGAGUAGUUGCACUGUUUGCCAUUAAAGAUCUUGGAUUUCUUCCCUAGAAAUUAGGAAGAGCCUGACUCUUGUCAACACUAAGCAGCCAGGCUGCUGCAGAAAGCAUUCUUCCAGGAUUUACAACAUGUAAGCUUUAAUCUCUUCAGGUAGAGAUGAAAGAUGAACACAGCUUCGCAGCCAGGACAAAAACCAGCUUGCUUUCCACAAAAGAAGGUUGAGGAGAUAGGAAACCCAAGUCUGAAAGUGCAGCCUGAACCAGGAAGAGCAGAUCACAGAGGCAGUGCUAUUCAAGCAGCAUGUUGGCUUGUCCUGGAGCGAUAGAUUUCAUUUUAGAAUACCUGGUGUGAUUCUACUGGCUUAUUUUUACAGGAUGUAAAGUGAGUGAACUCCUCUGCAAUCAAAAUCUAUGAGUAGAUCAACCUACAGUGUUAUUGAAUGACUUAUCAUUAAAAUACUCAUUGUGAUCUUUGGAAUAAGGAGCUUACAAAGUGAACACAUUUGCAUCAAAGGACCGCAUGCUGUAUUUGGUGGACAGAUUUAACCACUGUACUUUUCCCACGUUCCCUUGGUAGGUUAUGAAACAGGGGCACUACGUUUGGAACAUGGAGCAAAAGCUGAGCAGAAUUUUAGCUUUGUUAAAUAACACACAUUACUCACUGUUUUUACCAGUUCCACUCUAUUAUGCCAUGUUAAGAUAGUAAAAGAAAAGAUGUCUUGACUUUUUUUAUUUAUGUGGUGUACGUGAAAACAAGAAAAUGUGUACUCUUUGGUUCUGUCGUCUAAGAGUGGUGAAAUUUUCAUGCUAAGAGCCCUACAGUUUCAAGCAUGCUCUUGUUUCGGCUGAUUAUAACAGACAUAAAUGUUCCUAUCUAUAUUUAAUAGAAGUAAGUGCAACAUUUUCUCAAGUGAUUGCAGAGCAGAGCUGAUUGUCUAAAUCAGUCUCAUAACCAAUACAAUGUAUGCUUAGGAGAAAAUUCUGAUGGACGUUCUUACGACUUGACAAUAAAAAUGCCCCUUGCGUUGCUCUUUAUUGAUCUCAGAACCUCAAAAUAAGAUUUCAAAAUUCUUUUUUUUUUUUUUUUCCCUUAAACAUCACAACUGCGUACAGUAAUCUAAAAAAACAGAAGCUACACUGUUUGGUUAAAACAAACUCUUCAUUUCUCUUGAUAAAUCCGAUGGAAUAAGGUGGGGCUGGUAAUUCUGAACUGAGUGGAUAUUGGCUUGUCAACAUGGUAAGUGGACUUCCAAAAUAUUGGAAGCCUGUUACAAAAAUAAGGAUUUGAUAGCUACGAAUGCUUCUAUAAUUGAAGCUUCUUAUCCCAAUGAAAGUUAGAAUUUUCUAUUGAGGAGCUUUUAUCCCACCUGAUGUUUAAAGAAUAAUUGCACAGGCAGGUGGCAAGCUGGCUUUUCUUUUUUCUGUCCAUUGUCUUUGUACUACUUUUCAUUCAAUAUAAUAUGUAAGUAAGCAUUACUUUGGAAUUAAAAGUAUAAUAGCUAUUUUUAAAAAUCUAUACAGAAAAGAUAUACAUAUUGCAUCCAACAGACAAUGCUUUCCAAAAUCUCUCCUCCAAGUUAUGAAAAUGAGUAAUAUGUUUUCAAUAUAAUGUAUUGUACAUCGCUAUAAAAUAAUAUUUAUGCACCUGGCUCAGUCAUCUCUGUGAGCCUCCAGCUCUCAGAGGCAAUGCCCAAUGACAGCUGCUGGGGAGAGUAAUGAUGAGGCAUUAAGAAUUCCUGUAGCACUGAAAUCAGCCAGAGAAUAUAUAUAACUUGAACAAAAACUUCCACAGAUGUUAGGGGUAUUAAAGCCAACCGAGCAUUUUAAGGGCUUUCCCCAACUUCCUACCUGAUGCAAAUGCCAGCAAGAUUAAAAUCCCAUCAAUCAUCACCGCAACCAAAAGUGAAGAACUUUGAUAUAGUUCCUAAAUAUUUUAUUGGUAUUAUGAUCAGGGCCAGCGUGAUGUUUGGUAGAAAGCUUAAAAAAUACCACAAAACAGAUUUCUGGCUACGGCUUUUCUGUACGUGUAAAUCCAAGGCUAAAGGCAGCUCUGUAUUGGCCAACGCAUCAGUCAUUGUGCAGUUCUAAAACGAUCCUUUAUCAGUUUUGCAGUGUUGGAUCCAUGCAAAGCUACUGUGGAAAUUGUCCUGAACCAGCAGCAAAAGGAAAUAUUUAUGCUAACAGCCAAAAGUCAUCUCAGGCAACGUAAGGAUAUCUCACAUACGACUCGUUAACAGCAUCUGAAUGCCUCUUCAUGACCAGUUUCGUAGUAAGAAACGCUGCUUUCUACGAGGAGGCAUGAGGUUUAUUCAACAGUAAUUCAAGAGCACCAUAAGGAGCAGCCUAGAGAUUGAAGACAUCGACUCCUAGCCUUUCUUGUGCAGAAUCACUUCAAGUCCACUGGAGGUUUUCCACUAAUCUGGGCUUGUGAUUAUUGUCUCUUCUUGUAUGGAAGACUGCCAUUCUUUAGAGGAGAGAAAACAUCUUGAGUCAGCCAAAGUGCGGGAAAUCCAGGGCCUGGCACACACAGGCUACGUUUCUAGGAGUAAAUGUAAUGUGCUCAAGACCAUUGCUAAAGACUGUGUUAAUUAAGCCAGCUGGCACAGGAUAGGUUACAUCCAUUCUGUCCAUACUUCUUAUUCCCUGUAAGAGGACAGCCUUACGCGAACUACUAAUUACUUCCUAUGCUUCCUAACUUCCCAACAGUACCACAGAAUCAAUGGGGAGAGUUGUCACAACAACGUGUCAGGGUUUGCUAUAGCAGUUUAACAGUGUAUAUGGCUGUUCCAGUGCCAGGAACCCUCCCUAGCAGCACUCAGUUUUGUCUUCUAGUAUAGGCGCAGCCUGUGAGUUCUGCCUGUAUUUCAGUGAUCACCAGUCAUCCUAUGAGGAUUGUUACCAGUUGGAAGAACCUACAGGGGCUUUUUUUGCACCAUGGCCUAAACUGGAGCAAAACAAACAUCAAAAUCUGAGAAUUCAUAAGCAGCUUUGGAAAUAGUUCUGUGUCUUUACUGUCAGGCAGCUGUACAAAGCCUCCACUGGAGGCAGCAAAGGGUCUAUGUAAAUCAGGAAGAUUCACAGUGAAAUCAUAUUUGCAUCAAAAUAGAAUAAAAAGGGUCUAAAAAUAUCUUUUUUUUUUUUUUUCCUCUUGUGUACAUUUUCUUUUGAGUAGAUCCUAUAUUGCAAUGAAAUAAAACUGCCAAUACUUUUAGUUUUAGCUUGAGGGAAAAGAAGCGUUUAAAAAGCAAUAUUAUAAGACCUUGGCAAGAUGGUCUUUCUACUAAGACAGAAAAUGACUUUGCCUCACAUUACAUUAUUUUUAACAAUCUAUACUGUACUUACUGAAUUCUUUACUAACACGAUUGCUCUCUUCAGCCUCUUUCAUCUCAUUCCCCUCCAAAAACUCAGAACCAUGCUAAAUGGUUCUAAAACUGAAAAUUGUCUCUAUUUAACAUUCAUUACAAAGUGGAGAAAAUCUUCAAUUUAUAUGUGGUGAUUUUUUUUGUUGUUGUUUUGUUUGUUUGUUAUGUUUUUUUGUUUGUUUGUUUGUUUUUGGCUGGUGUUAAAUUUCUGUGUUCCAAAAAUAAUGUUAUAAAGACCUUUUCUAUGAUCUAAUUUUUUUUAAUUUUCACUAUUUUGGAAACACAGCUAGAUGAAGGAAAAACAAAAACAAAAAAAACACACCACAAAAUAGCUGUGUAACUGUGAAAAGACUUUCCAUUGCUGAAUUAGUACCUGUAUGCUGCCAUCAAAAAUACAAAUCUAACUGACGAUUCACUGUUUACGUUAUUCAUUCGGGUUUUACAUGGGGCUCAGCUUAGAUAAUAAAAGCAUCCAUUUUCACAUUUUCUAGUUGGCACUCUUAUCUGGGGAAGUCUUUAUACGUUUUUAUAAUGAAUUAGAGGAAAAAGAUAACUCAAGGGAAAGGCAUUUGUCUUAAAAUGUUAAUUUCCAAUUAAAAUAUUGAAUGCAGAGAUUAUUUCUCUUGUAUUAUUUUUUUCUGCUAUACCAAAGAAUUUGGUUCUGUAAUGAAAGAAAUGGAGAUAGACUUCUAUCAGUGCCGUCAGGUAUUGCAUACAGUUAUCUUUACACUUUAUUCUUAUUUGUUUUGCAAUGCAAAUUUAGUGGAAAUGCCACUUUGAUAUUUUUAGUUAAGUCAGAAAUUGCAGUCAGAUGUUUCUAUCAGGGCUGUGAUACUCUUAGGGGCUGUUAAGGAAUGAGAGUGCUCCUUGGUCAGCUUUGACCAAUGUAGCUGUGAUCUUUGCCAUUAUUCCUUUUGAAAACACAUGAUCUGAAGUAAAAAACAAACAAAACAAAAAAUCAGGUGGAGAUAUUUGUCUUCUUUUCUUUGUCGGUUUCUUGCUCUGUGUGUUAAAGGAGCAAGAGGACAGUACCUACAAGAAAAGGCUCUUGACGGUAGUAUUUGUGAUUAGAAGCUAGAUGAAACCUAGAACUUCCAUUG